GGGAGCCCCUGCUGGUCAGGUCUGUGACAGGCCAAGCAGUUGUAAAAAGCCUGUCUAUAGCUGGAAACUGGUGGUGGGGUCUGGAUCACAAAUAAAGAGUACGGGUGUUGCACCACCCAGAAGUGUCCCUGAGUGUCUGAGAAGAGGGGGAGAAGGGCCUAACUGAAGGGGCAUGGCAUGCACCCCAUUACAUGUGGGGGCUUGUUCAGGAUCCAAAGCCACCGCCAGGGCGUGGCUACCCGAGGAUGGAGAGAACCAUGCAGUGGCUAGCUAAACAGCAAGAGGAGCUGCAGAAAGCCUUGCAAGCCUUCCAGCAGUCCCAUCAGGCGGAGCGGCAGGCCUUACUUGCCUGGCAGGCUGACCAACAGAAGACCCUCCAGGACUUCAUCAGGGAGCAGGCCAGUGUACAGCAGCAGCUCCUGCACUGAUGGAACAGAAACACUUACUGAACACUUCUGUCUUUCCUGCAUUAUUAUUGGUCAUUGAGCAAAAUGUUGAAUAGCGCAGGGCCAAGCACUGAUUCCCGUGGGACUCCACUGGAAACACGCCCACUUGAUGAUCCGCUCUUCCUCCAGCUGUGUUUCUAAUAAAGACAUCUAUGUUCCCAUGGCCUUCUUGAUACACACCUCACGUGGUCCCAGCCUGCCCAGCUGGGCUGAUUGAAGCCUGUGGGGAGGGGCAGGCUAUUCUUACACAAGCAGAAGGUGGGCCUCUCCCAGGAAACCAUGUCUGGAGCUGCAGGGCAGUGAAUGAGGCUGUAGUGACUCUUCAAUCCAGGAACACCUGGCCACUGAUGUCCCCAGGGCUCACCCGGGUCAUGAAUCGAUCUGGGCAGCAAACAGGUUUCCCAGCCCAUGAAACUUUUCAAGAUGUCACAAAUGUUCCCAUUUUGCACUGGGACAAAACUAAGACUCUUUGAAGUUUUUUUGCAGGGAGGAGAGGGGGUGAGACGGAGUACGAGAGCCCAGCCCCCCACAGCAAGGCCAAUAGCUGCUGGUCUGAGUACUCUCCUGCAAUGAAGGAGACCCAGGUUCAAGUCCCUGCUCUGCCUGAGUCUGACCAGAGACUUGACCCUGGGUCACAUAUGCCCUAGAGGAGUGCCCUAAACUCUGGGCUAUUGGCCAUUCUAAGACAGGCUGGGCUCUCUCUGGUUAUGACUAGAAAUUCUAACUUUAGCCUGAGAAACCUUCCUGACGAAAGCUUCAUUGACUCUAGGGAUGUCCCCGCAAAAAGUUUCACUUCAGAUGAAUCUGCAUUUUGCGAUGGAAAACUGUUCUGUCAAAAAAUUUGCAAUGGGCAUGAUCUGCCAGUGUUUAAUAAUCUUGGACCUGGUGGAGUUCUCAGCCAUUCCAGCUGGGAGAGGCUGUGGGCAAGUUGGGAACUGCCUGUCAGGUAUGGCAAUUGCUUGCAAUAUCUUGGACAAGCCUUCCUAUCUUUGGAGUCCAUUGUUUUCAAUGACGGGUUGACAUACCCUUGUGGGCCAGGGACUGUAUGUAUCUCCCUGGGUAGCUACAGUUCCUCCAAGACUGAGAACAGUGCAGGGUUACUUGGGCAAAUUCACUCAGAUUGUAAUACCUCCAAAGAAGUACCAACAGCUUCAGACACUCACCUCUAUUGGUUCAAACUGGAUUCUCCAGAGCCCAGCAGACAAAGAAAGGACUUUUGGAUACAUAGGUUGAGUUUAUACUGACUCAGGGCCUGUUUUCUGCUCCAGCAAACAGACAGGCCCUCUGUCCAAGGGAAGCAUCAAUCCUUAGGGAAGGGUUGGCAGGACUGGGCUGCUGAGGCCCCAUAAGAUUGAAAGGGCACCUUCUGAGCCAAAGCUGUUAUGAACUUGUGACCACAGAAAAAACCCUGGGGCUUGAAGGACUGUUCAUUGGCCAGAACCCUUGCUGGGAUUGGGGUGAUCUCUGAAAAGCUUAUUAGCCUGCAUGUCAUGUCUUUUAUUGCUUUUACAUGUUUUCUCUGUAAUGCUUUCACCUUAGGAAUACAUAUGCUUGCUUACAUGAGCUACGUGCUAACUUAAUGGUGAGCAAUUACACUGUGCACUGUCUCUGAGAAGAGAACUGAAGCAGGC